UUUUUUUUUUUUUCUCUUUUUGCUUUUUAAGGCCGCACCCACAGCACAUGGAAGUUCCCAGGCUAGCAGUGGAAUCAGAGCAGCAGUCACCAGCCAAUGCCAAAGCCACAGCAACUCCAGAUCCAAGUCAUGUCUGCAACCUACACCACAGCUCACACCAACACUGGAUCCUUAAGCUUCUGAGUGAGACCAGAGAUCAAACCCACAUCAUCAUGGAUACAAGUCGGGCUCAUUACCACUGAGCCACAACAGGAACUCCUGCUUCCCACUCUUAAUCGCUACCACUGGUUCAGCAUCUCAUGAGCGUGUGUGGUUUUCAGGCCUUCUUCCCCCCACCCCACCCCCCGCCCCAUUUCUCAGAGCAGACAGCUCUCCUGGGCUUUGGCAUAUAAAGACCCCAGGUUCUGAGUCAAAGGGAAUCAACUUGGUUGCCAAAGAUUCUUGGUAGGCACAGAGCGGCCAUCUAGGGGUGACCACAGAUACUAAGCUCUGGAAACCAACCUAGGGAAGGAAGCUGAAGUUUUAUGCAGUUUAAAUGAUGAUUACUUUGGUAGAAUCUGAAUUCUAACUGAUUGAUCAUGAUGCUCAGAAAUGAUUGUUUAUUUGGCAGGUAUGAUCAUGGUAUUAUAGAUAUAUUAAAAAUAAGAUUUCUCUUAUAGUGCAGUGGGUUAAGGAUCUGGCAUUGUCACUGCAGUGGCUUGGGUCACUGCUGUGGCUUGGAUUCAAUCCUUGGCCCAGGAAAUUCUGUAUGCCACGACAUGCCCAAAAUAAGAAGAGGAAGAGAGAUAGAUCUUAUCUUUUAGAGAGACAGGCCAAGACUGAAAUAUUUAUUAAUAAAAUUAUGUUGAAAUAAACCCCAGACAACAAAUAAUCUGACAGUGGAAGGAGAGUUGGCUAUUAGCUUAUGAUUUUUGAAUCUGUGAUGAAGACUCAGGGUACAUGGAAGUUAUUAGGCUAUUUUCUCUACUUUUGUCUGUGUUUGAAAUUUUCCCUACUAUGGCGUUUUAAAGCAUAUCCUUUGUAAACAGCCAUAUCCUUUGUAAACAGUCAAACUACUAGAAAGUUUUAAGACAACUGAAAGCCUCUACAAAGUCUUUAAUAAAUGGCAUUUCAUUAGAUGAAUAAAGAUAGAACAAAGUCUCCACAGUGCAAAUUAAACAGUACAUAUUUAAUUCAGCAAAUGUAAGAUUGUUUUUGAAAGAUCUUCGGCUGUGGAUUAUAGCUAAGUGAUAACUUGGGCUCAGAAAAUUAAAAUUAGAUCACAUAGAAAGAAAAGAAAAACAGUAGAGAUCUCAAGUAUUAUACAUUCUCUCUUGGCAAUAAUACUAAUAGAUUUAACAGAUAAUCAAGACUGAAUAACAAAAUAUUGAGUCCAGUUCUGCCAGAGGGCAGAGGCACAGUUCCAAGUAACCUCCAGCUCUCCCAGUUUGGUUUCUGUGUAAAUAACAGAUAACAUGUCAGAGUUAUUCUUUCUAUUCCACUGAUAGCAGGUUUAGCCCCCCCAAAUGGACACAAGUUUUAUUAGCUAAGGGGAUUAGAAAUAACUCAGCUGGUUCAUCAUGCAGAGUUGUGGCAAAAUUGGUGCAGAGAUGUGGCAAGAUUUAGGAAGUGAAUCUGAACCCUCAGGUUGAGCUCACAACAUGGAAGAGACGCAAAGAGAAUACAGUGAGCUGGUCAUGUCAUUCUAACUUGAAAUUUAGAUGUCUGUCAAAAUCCACAUUCUUAGUACUGAGUUCAAUAAAAACGGAGCCAAGGUUUUCAUGUCACACUUCAAUGGCCACUGAGCAGCUGAAUUAGCAGACAGAUAGAUGGCAGCCACUUGAGCAUGUGGUCACUUGUCCCAGCCACUUUCAGGUAAGCUCAGAGUUUACAGUAAAGCUUUGAAUCCCCGCUGGGUGCUAAGCCUUUGACCAGCAUUAUUGAAUACAAACCUCCCGGCACUCAUAAUACCAUCCCAUUUUAUGAACCAGGAAACCAAGGCCCAGAGAGGCUCAGAAUGCUACCUGAGGUCCUCCAACUAGGACGUUGCUAAGCUUAGGUUUAAAGCCAGACUCUCUGAUCAGUGAACUUACGUCCUUCACCACAACACGAGCCCAUUUUACUAAAUACACAGAGACUAAUAAAAUAUGUCAGAAUAUUAUCUCUCCAACCUUGACCAUUUAAAUAAACACAUACCCUUUUGCUGAUUCAUCGGGCAAGACGUCUAGCUCUGUCCUUUCUCACUGCAAUUAACCUCUAGCCCAUUCCUUCUAGGAGCUCAUCAGAACUCCAGGCUGGGCUAUGAUGGAGAUACCCGUACAUUUAAAAGUAGCCAUUUGCUUUUCACACAUACAGACACACACACAGACACACACACACACACACACACCAGCACUCUCAUAUACAUCUCAUUCUGGUGGGGUUCAACAUUAGAGACAAAGGAAAAAGAAUCCCUGAAAAGGAUGCCUAUGAUCAUCAAAAAUUGGGGUUAAUAGAGGUAAACUAUUACAUUUAGAAUGGAUAAGCAAUGAGGUCCUACUAUAUAGCACAGAAAAAUCCAGUUUCUUGAGACAGACCAUGAUGGAAGAUAAUAUAAAAAAUGUCACUAUGCUGUAUAGCAGAAAUUGGCACUACACUGUAAAUCAACUAUAAUAAAAAAAAAGACAUAAAAAAACUCUGACUAGAAUUCAGAAGAGAGCCCCAUCUAAGGCAAAGCUGACUUAAUUUGCCAGAGAAACUAUUUCCUGCCCAUGGAGGAAUUAACGCUAGAUCUGCACGUAUGUGGCAAGAUAGCCACACAAGACUUGAAAAGGAGGGAGACAAAACGAGGAGUAACGCCAUACAGCAGGGUGGAGUUUUAGCAAAAGCAUUUGUCAACUGCACCUAACAGAUGAUCCUAUCUGAUACUUCACUCUUGGAUGACAACAGGGAUUACGUUAAGGUGGUAUAUGUGGAUUAUAAUUUCAUAAAUACUAACAACAGGCUUUCUCAUUUUACUGACAGGAAAUAUUUUGAAUAAGGAAGAGAACAGGGGACCAUGCAGAAAGAGUAAGCAGUACCUUCACAUCCAUACUGACUCUGAUGCCAUUAUGGUAAACUUUGCUUGAGGUUACAGCCAGAUUUUUUUUAAGUGCUCUCUUGUGUGCAUGAAAGCAGAUAAAAGUUUGGAGCUGCUCUGAUACCCCUGAAGAAUGAGCCUUAGGGUAAAACCUAGCUCUGUAGAAAGAGAGCCUCUAGCCCACUAAAGAUUUUUCUGGCUGCUUACUUUAUGUUGUUUGGAUUUAUUUUGGAAUUUGUCCUUAGGUUUUUCAACCUAUAUCACAAUAUCAUGCAGAGAUUGCGAAGGAUGUUGUUGAUAUCAACAUUAUAAUUUCCAGAAAGAUCUAUACCUUAAAAUGAGGGUAGAAAUGAAUGGCUUUCAUUGCUUUAUAUCCAUAAUUCUUUUUUAGUGUCCUAACAUAAUACUUUCUUGUUUAGCAUCAUCAUAGAACAAGGUAUUCAAUAUAGUAUAUUUUCCAGAUAAUUGUUUUAAUUAUGUUUUACUUCGAUUUGCUUUUCUUAAGGGCAUUAUAUAGUGAGCAUAUGUAUCUGGUUCAUAGGUUAAAAAUAGCCACUAAAUUAGCACAUCAAAAAUCAGUGACAGUCUCUUAAUUUAUUGGGUUUGUAUGGAUAUUUAGCCAAUAAAUUAGGUAACUUCAAACUCACAGGGAAUUGGAGUUGUGUCUGCUGUGUCCUAUUCCUGAUCAACUGAGGCUUCUUGGUGCUAGAAGGAUAUCUUCUCAUUGUCAUUUCUAACCUAUCACAGAAGAGGAAAUGAAUAACUGAGCUUGUUAGAAUUUGUCUAAAACAAGACUACACAGAGGAACUCUGCAAUGAAUGAAGAAUAACAGUUUUGGUGCAUAAACCAUCUUAUGUUCAUCAACCACUACACUUAAAAGUCUAAGACAGCAAGGCCACAUCUGCAUUCUUAGAACCUAUCAGAGUUAUUAGCACCCAAUAAAUACAUGCUGAAUGAUUAAAUGAAUUUACAGUUUGGCAUUUAAUUUGACUUCUCUGAAACUUUUAAACUUACUUUAAUAUUCUCGGCUUCGUAGACUUAAAUUCAUGGAUUCUGCAUAAACUGUCACUGAUAGCUCUUGUGAAGUGAGAAAAUGUGUGCAAAACCACUAAGCUUAGUGCUCAACACACAACAAAAUACACACGAUAGUAUUAGUUGAGUCAGCAUUUUCCUUACCUAUGAUGCCGUUUUUUUUAAAAAAAAAAAAAAACUACUUUUCAUUGAUACAGAAUUUUCAAGGAGGUUGCAUAGUAUAAUGGGAAAACUACUUAAUCAAAAAUGAGGGGAGUUCCCACGUGGCUCAGCAUGUUAAGAAGCCAACAUAGUGUCCUUGAGGAUGCAGGUUUAAUCCCUGGCCUCGCUCAUCGGGUUAAGGAUUUGGCAUUGCCACAAAGUGUGGCAUAGGUUGCAGAUGCAGUUUGGAUCCAGUGUUGCUGUGGCUGUGGCUGUGACCAGCAGCUGCAGCUCUGAUUCAACCCCUAGCCUGGGAACUUCCAUAUUCCACAGGUGCUGCCAUGGAAGGAAGGAAAGAAGGAAGGGAGGGAGAGAGGAAGCAAGGAAGGGAGGGAGGGAAGAAGGAAAGAAUAAAAAUACCAAGUUCAAGUCCUGGCUUUCUCACAUAUUUAAUUCUGGCAGUGGGUAGCUAACAUAAUUUCUCAUAACCUUAGUUUCUUUGUGGGCAAACAGAAAUAAUUAUUCAGCUGAACAACAAUGUAUUGAAUGCCAGUCAGUGUUAAAGUCGACAGGAUUCAAAAAUUAUCUAUCACUUUUCUGCUUC
rnacentral:lncRNA from 1 species